AACUAGCUUUGCCUACUAACCAUGUUUCUUUCCAUUUGUAUUAGGUUCUUUUUAUAACAGCUCAAAGUUUCAUUAAUUGCUGCAAUAAACAUUGAUUUUCAUGUUUGUGAGUCUGCAAGUCAGCUGGGCGGCUCUACUUCAGGUGGUAAGGGUGGAUCAGAGCUAUUCAUAUACCUCUUGUUCUCCUUGUCUAGUGGUUUCUAGGGAUAUGUUCUCAUAAUGAACCCCACAGAGGCUCGUGAAAGUGAGAGGAAACUAGGAUGCCUCUUAAGGCCUUGGUCAGGAUGGGGUCUCCUGUCACUUCCAUCGCAGUCUAUUGUAAGUCAUAUGACCAAGUUCAAUAAAAUAUAAACAAGUUAGAAAAACAAUGGGAGGAAUGGCAAAGUCAUAUGGCCAAGGCCAUGAGUGAUUAAUUUUAACACAGGAAAAAAGUGAAGCAUUAAAUGCAAUUAUUUAAUAUACAGUGCCUCAUUAACUGAAAUAUAAAAUGUGUUUACUGUAAAAUAUAAUCUGCUUAUCUCAGCAAAGAAAUACUAUCUUUAAAAAAUAUCAUUACUUCUAAGACGUCAUCAGUCUGCAACUUCUUUCCAUAGCCUUACUCAGGAUGCUCUGGCAGCUCCUACAUUAGCCUCGCAUUGUAAACUGGUAGAUUUCCUAGGAAACCACACAUCUAUUUAUUUUUCUUAUUUUAUAUGUUUAGGACAAUGUAUAGCUAAUUACCCUACUUUUAUUUGCAUACAAAUCUAAUACAAUCAGUUUUAUCACAGAUAUAAUGGAUUUUUCAAUAGUGAGGAGAGAGGUGCCUCCAUGAGCCUUCUCUUUAGAAAAGUGGCAUUCAGGACUCUUCAUUUGAAGUGAAGAUUGCUAUAUCUUUUGCAUUGCUGUAUUUUAGAUAAAUUAAGUUAUAAAUUGACACUAUAAUCAACUGACACCAUGAUCAGUGAUGAUGAUCACCCUCAUCAGCACUAGAGUUGACUUUUUGUUUUUAUAACCCCUCUGCAUGUAUGUUGAAUAGCAAAGUUCAUCAAAGAACAUGUAUUAGUCAAUGGUAAGUAAGAUAUCCUCAUCUAAGAAAUAACAUCACCUCGUCUAAUAAAGUUCUAAGAAGAGAGGGAAGAAAAAGUCUUGGGAGCUAGUCAGGAAAUAGUGUGUAUUUGCAGUUACCUAAACUGAACUCUACCAUUACUCCUAACCCAGCUCCUCCUCCUGUGUUUUACAUGAUUAAUGCCACCCCUGCCUCAACUAACCAAGAUCAGCUUCAUCACUGGGACCUCCCCAUUCUUCCUGUGCAAUAUUUUUCUUUUUUAUUUCUCCUUCUAAUAUUACUGUUAUCGCUCCAGUAAAGAUCUGUAAUAUAUUUCAUCUGGACUGAUACCAGGAAUGGUGGUGUUGCUUCCAAUCUGUUGCUGCUAGAUUAAUCUUUGCAAAGCACAGGCUUAAUUUCAUUGCUCCUUAACUAAAACCACUGGUGGCUUUCCAAUGCCUAAAAAAUAAAGUCAACCUCCCCAGCAGACAUUCAAGGCUUUCAGUGAUCCAUGGCUGUCAGCUCUCUCCAGGCUCACAUCCCACUCCACUCCUCUGAUGUUUCCUACACUACACUACACUACAUACACUACAGCCAGGUAGAAUGACUGUUCACCCAACACCAUUCAGGUUGUCUUCUCAACCUGAAAUACUCUUGCACCUUCAAAGCUCAGUUCAAGUGCCCGUUCAUUUGUGAAGCCUUCUCCAAGUCUCCAAGUCAGAAUGUCUCUUCCUUGUGCUACCACAACCCUUUACCUGAGCCUCCAUUAGUGCACUGAGACCAUUCUGUUCAGUGUUCGGGUGAAGCUUCUUGGUGCAAAAUAUGUUACCUAUUUCUUUCUGAAAAGUUGGAUUCAGGGAUAUUUUAGUAGGACCCAAGGUAAUAGUUCUAGCCAACCUCCCUGUCCACUGCCAAGCCGACUACAAACGCUUCUGUUGCUGGCGAGCUGGUCCAUGCCACUAGUUCUGCUUCAUUCUAUUUAUCUCUUAAUGUAAUCAUCUUCUUCCUCCAGGUUUUAAGAACCAGCCCAACUCCUGGUUCCCUGAUGAAGCUUAUAUUCCUCUACCCACAUCGAACUUUUUCUUUUUGGAGCAUGCCUUUAGUUUCUGUGUAGUUUGCCAUGCAGCACUUUAUUGUACACAUUAUUAAAACAGAAUUUUAAGGAUUAGAAUGAACCUUAAAAGAUCAUGUGUCUCAAAAUUUAAUGUACAUACAAAUUACCCAGGGAUUUUGUUGA